rnacentral:rRNA from 1 species
CAGGUGCUGUAGGUAAAUCCGCAGCGCUUAUCGAUGGUGACAGUACCGAGAGUCUUCGGACAAUCGGAUAAUGACCCUAAGCAUACUUCCAAGAAAACUCUCUAAACUUAUGAUUGUACUGCCCGUACCGUAAACCGACACAGGUAGUCGAGAAGAAGAUUCUAAGGUGCUCGAGUGAUUCAUGGCUAAGGAACUCGGCAAAUUAACCCUGUAACUUCGGGAAAAAGGGUGCCCUCUUCGGAGGGUCGCAGAGAAAUGGCUCAGGCGACUGUUUAACAAAAACACAUGGCUAUGCUAAAUCGAAAGAUGAUGUAUAUGGCCUGACACCUGCCCGGUGCUGGAAGGUUAAGAGGAGGUGUCAGUCGCAAGACAAAGCAUUGAAUCGAAGCCCCAGUAAACGGCGGCCGUAACAAUAACGGUCCUAAGGUAGCGAAAUUCCUUGUCGGGUAAGUUCCGACCUGCACGAAUGGUGUAACGAUCUGAGCGCUGUCUCAGUCAUGAGCUCGGUGAAAUUGUAGUAGCGGUGAAGAUGCCGCUUACCCGCAACGGGACGGAAAGACCCCGUGCACCUUCACUACAACUUUGCAUUGAUUCUGGAUAAAUGAUGUGUAGGAUGGGUGGGAGACUUUGAAGCGGUGGCGCUAGCCAUCGUGGAGUCAACCUUGAAAUACCACCCUUCAUUUAUUCGGGAUCUAAUCCCGCUCAAGCGGGAGACAUUGCAUGGUGGGUAGUUUGACUGGGGUGGUCGCCUCCAAAAGAGUAACGGAGGCUUUCAAAGGUACCCUCAGCACGCUUGGUAACCGUGCGCGGAGUGCAAUAGCAUAAGGGUGCUUGACUGUGAGACUUACAAGUCGAGCAGGUACGAAAGUAGGAUAUAGUGAUCCGGUGGUUCCGCAUGGAAGGGCCAUCGCUCAAAGGAUAAAAGGUACGCCGGAUAACAGGCUGAUCUCCCCCAAGAGCUCACAUCGACGGGGAGGUUUGGCACCUCGAUGUCGGCUCGUCACAUCCUGGGGCUGGAGAAGGUCCCAAGGGUUCGGCUGUUCGCCGAUUAAAGUGGCACGCGAGCUGGGUUCAGAACGUCGUGAGACAGUUCGGUCCCUAUCUGUUGUGGGCGCUGGAAGUUUGAGAGGACCUGACUCUAGUACGAGAGGGCCGAGUCGGACGUACCUCUAGUGGACCUGUUGUGACGCCAGCUGCAUCGCAGGGUAGCUAUGUACGUUUGAGAUAAGCGCUGAAAGCAUCUAAGCACGAAACUCGCCUCAAGAUGAGACUUCCUUUAAGGGUCGUCGGAGACUACGACGUUGAUAGGUUGUA